rnacentral:rRNA from 1 species
AAUUACUCCGAGCCUAAUAUCUAGCCCCCCACCAAAUAUACUCACCACCUAUUUAACUUCAAAAAUUAAAACAUUUUACCAAUUUAGUAGAGGCGAUCAAAAAAUUUUAAGGAGCUAUACAUACAGUACCGCAAGGGAAAGAUGAAAUAAUAAUGAAAUAAUCCCAAGCACAAAAAAGUAGAGAUUCUCCCUCGUACCUUUUGCAUCAUGGUUUAACUAGUCUAAUCAAGCAAAACGACCUUUAGUUUGACUUCCCGAAACUAUGCGAGCUACUUCAAGGCAGCCUCAUGGGCAAACCCGUCUCUGUUGCAAAAGAGUGGGAAGACCUUCAAGUAGCGGUGACAGACCUAACGAGCCUAGUGAUAGCUGGUUACUCAAAAAAAGAAUAUUAGUUCAGCCUAAAGUUACACCCAUAUAAAAAAAUUAAAACUUGACUUUAGAGUAAUUCAAAUAAGGUACAGCCUAUUUGAAUCAGGACACAAUCUCAUCUGACGGGUAAAUUCAUUUACUAACCUUUAAUCAAGUGGGCCUAAGAGCAGCCACCUUUCAAAUAGCGUCAAAGCUUUAUUAAACAGAUCUCUAAUCCCCCAAUUCACCAACAACCCUCCAACCUUAUUGAGUAAUUCUAUACUUCUAUAGAAAUUUUUAUGUUAAAACUAGUAACAAGAAGAAGACCUUCUCUUUAAUGCAAACUUAAAUCAGAAAGGACACCCCGCUGAUAAUUAACGUUUUUGACUUAAAAGUAGUAACUCUAACAAGAAAACCCUACUCUUCCCCACGUUAACCUCACACAAGAGCAUUACAAGAAAAAUUAAAAGAAAAAGAAGGAACUCGGCAAAUAUUUAACCUCGCCUGUUUACCAAAAACAUCGCCUCUUGAGAAAUAUAAGAGGUCCAGCCUGCCCAGUGACUUUGUUCAACGGCCGCGGUAUCCUAACCGUGCGAAGGUAGCGUAAUCACUUGUUCUUUAAAUGAGGACUAGUAUGAAAGGCAUCACGAGGGUUAUACUGUCUCCUUUUUCCAAUUAGUGAAACUAAUCUUCCCGUGAAGAAGCGGGAAUCAUUAUAUAAGACGAGAAGACCCUAUGGAGCUUAAAAUAAUAUAACAAUUGCUAUCAUUAUAAAAUCUUACCCACUAUGCUCAGCAAUAUGAUUAUUAAUUUUUGGUUGGGGUGACCGCGGAGUAUAAAAUAACCUCCACAUUGAAAGGAUCCCACUCCUAAGCUAAAAGUAACAACUUUAUGCAUCAACAAAUUGACAUUAAUUGACCCAAUAUAUUGAUCAACGAACCAAGUUACCCUAGGGAUAACAGCGCAAUCUACUUUGAGAGCCCAUAUCGACAAGUAGGUUUACGACCUCGAUGUUGGAUCAGGGUAUCCCAGUGGUGCAGCCGCUACUAAUGNNNNNNNNNNNNNNNNNNNNNNNNNN